AACGUAGGGGGCGAGCGUUGUCCGGAAUUACUGGGAGUAAAGGGCGUGUAGGCGGUCAUUUAAGUCAGAGGUGAAAACUACCGGCUUAACCGGUAGCCUGCCUUUGAAACUGGAUGACUUGAGGGCAGGAGAGGGGAGUGGAAUUCCCAGUGUAGCGGUGAAAUGCGUAGAUAUUGGGAGGAACACCAGUGGCGAAGGCGGCUCUCUGGCCUGUUACUGACGCUGAGGCGCGAAAGCGUGGGUAGCGAACGGGAUUAGGUACCCGGGUAGUCCCUGAGCGGGCUGGCAA
rnacentral:rRNA from 1 species